rnacentral:lncRNA from 1 species
CGCCAGGUUAAUUUUUUGUAUUUUUAGUAGAGACGGGGUUUCACCGUGUUAGCCAGCAUGGUCUCGAUCUCCUGACCUCGUGAUCUGCCCGCCUCGGCCUCCCAAAGUAAGUUUCUACCUUUUAUCUCUCCUGUCACAUUAUAGAUUACUUGUAGAGAUGGAGAGAAUUGAAUCCAUUUAUCCUCUGUAGCUGUUAUCUCAUUACCACUCACCUAAUAUGUGAAUUUAUAAUAAGUGGUGGAUUUUACGUUCAGUUGACUUGGGUAGGUGUCUGAUGAAAGAAAGUUUGAUAGGACUGUUUGAUAAGAGCUUCAGGUGCUUAAAAAUAAAUGUGCUUCAAAAUUCUGAGGCAGUUUCUCAAGGCUUCUGCUGCAAACACACUGACAUCAUUCCAGUGGCUUUCUUUAUUUAAACUCGUCUUUCCUGCAGUCCUGUCGUAGUUCUGCAUGCUGCAAUGCCACUGUGUGCCUGCCUCUGUUCCACACAAGGCUGCGCUCCUUGAGGGCAGGUCUGUGCCUUGUGUCGGGGUAUCCUUAGUACCUGGCAGAGUACUGGGCCCUGGGAAUUUCAUAAUUUAAUGUAAAUUUCAAGUUUGCUAAUUAGAGGGCCUUUAUUUGCUUACCUAACAAUAUAAUUAUUUCCAGCUAGUACCAGAAAAAUAAUCAGAGUAUUUCUAGGACCGACAUCAAAAGUGCCAGUAGCAUUUCAGAGUUAGGGUCCUCUGCUCAACUUUCCACUGGGACUUGCCUGCUAGUUUCCUGGCUCAUUUGUUAUUGGGGGUUGCUGUGCCUGGACUCACAUUGCAGUUCCUGCUGUUUUAUGGUAUUAAUGUGAAGGAUCCUUUUUCACUAGUGUAGGCAAUUAUGAAUUGAGUGUAAUUGCUCGGAGAGGACACGAGUCAUGAAUAAAUACAAUCUGAAAAUUCCUAACAUACAUUGCAUUAUGGCAAAUAGAUCCUUCUUUCUAGGUUAAAUACUUACAAAUAAAAUAUAAUUCAUAAGAAAUAUUUUGCAAAGUGUACUAUUACUGAUACUGCAUGCUAAUCAAGGCCUAUAUAGACUAAGUUACUUUAUUAUCAGGUUAAUUUUUUUCAAAAUUUAUGUUUCCAAAUUAAAUUAAUAAUUAAAAUCAAAUUCAUCUCAAUUUAUUUUCCUUAUUCUCUGAAUGCUAUCCAUAUAUGAAUCGACAGUCCAGAAUCAUGGACCAAUUAUUACUUCACAAAAUCUCAUUUCCCAUGACUGCAUAUAUUAUGCAGAUGAUAAUAUUCUUAGGUGUGCAUUGUCACCUUGGAUUUCACAUGAUGCUAUAAAAGCUAGAGUGACACUGAGAACUGAAAAAUGGAAGGGUAUAGAGAGUAUUUUUGUGUGUGUGAUUUAUAUACAUUUUAUUUUUUUAUCUCAUUUUGUUCCAUUGACUAGGCCCUCAGUAUGACUUAAAGCAGAGAUGGGAGCAUAUUUAUCUCAUUUAUAACUUUAAAAGGAAUGAGCCAAAUGUUUCACCAUUAUACACUUACUAUGAACCCUUUUUGUUGAUAUAUUUCAUAAACUUAAGGAAAUUUCUAUUCCUAGUCCAUUAAGAAUUUUUAUUAAUAGAAACUGAAUUUCAUCAAAUGCCUCUUCUACUUUUAUUUUGAUGAUGCUUUGGUGUUCAUAAAAUUGUUAAGAUAAAUUUCAUUAAUCAAUUUGUUAACUGUUAUGAUGAACUUUUCCCCAUAAUUAAAAAAAUUAUUAGUAAUAUUAUUUUAAAUUGACAAACAAUACUUGUAUAUAUUUAUAUGGUAUAAUGUGCCAUUUUGUUAUGUGUAUACAAUGUGGCAUGAUUAAAUCUAACUAAUUAACAUAUCUAUCACCUCUCUUAUUUUUUAUGGUGAGACAUUUGAAAUUUAUUCUCUUAGUUAUUUUGAAAUAUAAAUACAUUAUUAUUGACCAUAGCCACCCUGCUGUGCAGUAGCUCUCAAAACCUAUUCCCUCUGUCUAUCUGUACCCUUUGAUCAACAACUCCUCAUUCCCGCCCUCAUCAACCUCUUCCAGCCUCUGGUAACCUCAACCCCUUCCGGCCUCCAGUAACCGUCAUUCUACUUAGAAAAUGUUUAAAAAUAAGAAUACCAAGAAUGAGAGACAGAGGUUAUAAAUAGAUAGAAAAAUACUGGAAGGGGGAGAGGAAAGAAAGGGAGGGAGGGAGAGAGGGAAGGAAUGAAAAUGAGUGAAAAAGAGAGAAUUUGAAGAUCGUGUGAAAGACAGGGAGGGGAAAAUCAAGUGAACACUUCAAGUGAUCCCUUGCUAUGUGAACUCAUCUCUCAUCAUAUGGGCUCAGCACUUUAUGAUCUAACAUAAAGCUUUAUGACAGGCCAUCAGCAAUUUUGUUCAUCCUGAUAUCCACACCUGGCAGUGGCUCGGCACCUGUUGUCUAACUCAACAAGGCCAAGUGCAUGCUGCCAGCCCCACGGCGCACUCUGUCCUGUGGCCCCAGACAGCCUUCUCUGAACAGACUCUGUAGACCUGGCCUCCUGGCUGCCUGAUUUUGUAGUCAUGAUGGCUUCAAUAACUUCAGGCAUUAUCCAUGGAAAUGUACUGCAAACUUGACUUUUUAAAUUAGUUACAAGGAAGACACAGUAAGAUGUGAUCUUCUAAAGUGAAAAUUUCCCAAAGUACCAAGGAAAAGGAGAAACUGCAGAAGAGCUUCAAGAACCACAAACACUUGGGUUUUGCAUCUUGCCAGAAAAUCUGCACUGUUGGUAGAAGCCUGGGGUAGGGCUGGCAGGACCUGACUCAGCGGAGAAAAUGCCACCCACAGUCACUGACUCUGCUUCCGCAGUAGCGGAGCUCCCCUGUUUUCUCUGGAGGUUUCCCACAGCCGGGCCAAUACCCAUGUCUCUCAGAUGGGAAACUGGACUUUUGGAAAAUUGAAACUAAAUAAAGUUGUAUAACUUUUAAAAGAAGUUUACAAUUAUGAUGCUUUGCUUUUCACAUGCGCUUAAAGUCCAUUUUCUGUUGAAUAAAUAAUAUUAACCACAUAUUAACCACCUAAUAGUUUUAAA